rnacentral:rRNA from 1 species
UUCGUCCAAGUGAAGUAGAGGACAGUGGCGGACGGGUGAGUAACGCGUGAGGAACCUGCCUUUCAGAGGGGGACAACAGUUGGAAACGACUGCUAAUACCGCAUGACACAUUGGGGUCGCAUGGCCUUGAUGUCAAAGAUUUAUCGCUGAAAGAUGGCCUCGCGUCUGAUUAGCUAGUUGGUGAGGUAACGGCCCACCAAGGCGACGAUCAGUAGCCGGACUGAGAGGUUGACCGGCCACACUGGAACUGAGACACGGUCCAGACUCC